rnacentral:lncRNA from 10 species
GGAAGGGGCUGCUGCGGGGGCGACUGCUGUGGGGGCUGAGCGGGGGCCUGCGCCGCUUGGCCUUCAGGAUCUUGUUCACGUGGUCCAGGUUCUUCUUGGUGGACAGGAUCUUGGUGUAGUUGCACAUCUUCCGCACUUCGCACUGGAUGGCUUCGAUCUCCCGCCGCUUGAACCUCUUCUUCAGGGAGGAGCCGACUGCGGGAGGGGAAGAGAUAAGAAAUUGAGCACAGGAUGCAAGGUGCCUUCAACUCAGCCUCUUCACUGACAGCUAGCAUUCUACUUGGCUAUAAAGAUUAUAGAGAAUUAAUGCUAUGGGUAUGUCUCCGUGCCCAAGAUGCAUUAUUCCUUUUUCUUUAUUAAAAUAAAAACAAACAUUUCUCAAAUAUUCACUGUGCAUGCAAAGUACUUCUAUUGACAUGAUUUCAGUCCUCCCAACAAUUAUGUGAAAUAUUGUUGCUUCCGUUGUAAAGAUGUGGAAACUGAGGCUCAUACUGUGGAGGUAAACUGGCCUAGAGCCGUGGGACUCAAUGGCAGAAUCACAAUAUAAAUCUUCCCAUUAUUUCUCUUAUUAUAUAGGUAAUUUUGUAUUCACCUUUUUGACAUUUGAUCCGAUUCAAUUUAGCAAAGGAUUAGACUUUCUCUUUUUGUAGGUGUUAGAUGAAUAAAAAGGCACGUGGGCCUCCAUAUCAAGCAGAUGUACUAUC